GGCGAGUGAACCGGGAAGAGCUCAAAUUUGAAAUCUGGCGUGCUCAGUGCGUCCGAGUUGUAAUCUAUAGAGUCGUUUUCCGUGCCGGACUGUGUCCAAGUCCCUUGGAACAGGGUAUCAAAGAGGGUGAUAAUCCCGUACUUGACACAAUGACCGGUGCUCUGUGAUACGUCUUCUACGAGUCGAGUUGUUUGGGAAUGCAGCUCAAAAUGGGUGGUGAGUUCCAUCUAAAGCUAAAUAUUGGCGAGAGACCGAUAGCGAACAAGUACCGUGAGGGAAAGAUGAAAAGCACUUUGGAAAGAGAGUUAAACAGUACGUGAAAUUGUUAAAAGGGAAACGAUUGAAGUCAGUCGUGACUGAGAGGCUCAGCCGGUUCUGCCGGUGUAUUCCCCUCAGUCGGGUCAACAUCAGUUUUGUUCGGUGGAUAAGGGCAGUUGGAAGGUGGCACCCUCGGGUGUGUUAUAGCCAGCUGUCGCAUACAUCGGAUGAGACUGAGGAAUGCAGCUCGCCUUUAUGGCCGGGGUUCGCCCACGUUCGAGCUUAGGAUGUUGACAUAAUGGCUUUAAACGACCCGUCUUGAAACACAGGAC
rnacentral:rRNA from 1 species